ACGCCUGCGUCACGUUCUGGGUGACUCCGGAAUCCCCGGAUUACAAGGUCCCCGAUUGGGAAUAGCCGAAGGGUAAUUAAUUCUUCGCGGUACCACAUCGAGGUACCACUACUAGCGAUGCUGGUCAGUUCGAUAACGGUCUGUCAAAGUGUAUCGAUGGAAUUUCGGAAAUCGUGAGUCAGCUGUGUAUUUCCUGCGUUGGCGAGUUUAUUUUUAUAUCGAUAGUGUUGUCACCAGACCGUUGUUGUAAUAGUGCACUGAAAUCUGCCCGAAUUUUGAAAAUGACUUUUCUUCAAACUUCACAUAGGGUCGAUCGGGGCUAAUAUGCUACAAAAAUAUACACUUUUCACUAUAAUACCUAACCAUAUACAUUAAGCCAUUUUGAAAAAAUACUGGGAUAUAUAAUUCGUAUUGAUGUAGGUACCUAUUUUUGGAUAAUCAUCCGCUCAGGGAACUACAGUUGUCAAUCAUAUAACGUAGAAGAAUCAAUCCAAUCAUCUGCUUGAAGGUAGAUUCGAACUCAGGACCGCAAAGAAGUUGUGUCAAUUCCCGGGUAUUUCCAUUAUUUUCCGAUACGGUAGAAAAAAACCGUCGUCAUCAUUUAGUUCUUGUUGUGAAAAACAAUCGUUUACUUUAAUGAAGUACCUAAUAAAAAAAAAAAAAAUUACUUUCAGUUAAUUUCCGAUUUCUAUAGACGAUACGAAGAUAUAUAUUUUCAAAUUGAAAGAGAUGUAUUUUUAGGAGACAUUAAUCUUUGAGAAAGAAAGGAUUUAGCUUUCUUCUUCGUUUUUGCACAAGAAAAGUGGAAAUAUUCCAAAGAAAGAAAGAAAACAAAUAAUUCCAUUUUGGAACUCCUUGCUUUCUUUGGAGGAAUCCCAUAUUUUUUUAUAUGAAAAUGGAGAAGUAAAAAGCCUUUAUUUAGAAGAUUUUCACAUUUUUUUUGCAUAAAGAUGGAUGAAUAGAAAUCCAAAACCGUUCUUUCCCAGAUAUUUUUUAUAUUAUAUAAUUUUUGAAUCUUCCCCGUCUCGUUCCUUAUUUUUUUCCUUCUAGAAACCAGUUGUCUCAGUAGUCGCAAAUUAUGGGACUGAGAAUUAGCAAGGUCUUAUUCUUCAGCGUGCGAUUCGUAGUAUGGAAUCUUAAACGCUUAAAUUUCGUAACACGUUGAAACAAAAUUUUUUAUAGUAUAUCAAAGGUUUAGGCGAUGUUUAGAUUGGAUAGAAAUUGUAAUUUUUCGAAAUUAUGAUUAUACAAAUAUACAUUGACAAUAUAGUAUUGUGUUUAUAUGAAAUACUACAAAAUCAAACAAUUGGAUAAGUUUUCAUAUCAUAGCCGUUAUACAUAUUUUAUUGGUGAGAGAGAUGAACAUGAAAUGGGUUUGUAUGAUAAACAUUGACGACGAAAGAAUAAAUAAGAGUCAUCAAUAAAAUAUGCGAUAAAAGAUAAAACACAUACUUUUAGAUAGUAUCCUUUUCUUUUGCUAGUGAAAAAAUACGAUAAACCAGUUGACAUUUGCGUUUAGUCAGGGAUACUAACUUUCACUCGGUACAUUAGAUAGAGAUAGCUAUAUAAAAGUGAGUCGUCUACAAGUUUUUAUAUUUUCAGAACAAUUGAUUACGUACUACUAUGGGUUGACUACUAUAGGUUUCAUUGUUGACAUGUUGUUUAUUGAAAAGUUUAUACGGUUUCAAUCAUUUUAUACUAAACAUGAAUUAUUGUUAAAAAUAAAUAAAAGCACACCGUUUCAUUUUUAUUUGUGUAUAGAAUCAAGUUAUGAAGACACUGAUAUCACUAUAUAUUAUCGAAUUAUUAUUUUAUCUCGAUUUACUGUGCAGUUUUUAUUCAACUCACAUUUUUAACAUUAAUUUUGAAUGUUCCACAUAUAUGGUCUGUAUUAUACAUUUAUGAAUUACUUUUAUUUUAUAUAUACUGUUCAGUAUAUUACAUUGCUUUAUGAAAUAAAAACAAUAACCUCA
rnacentral:lncRNA from 1 species